rnacentral:rRNA from 1 species
AGAACGAAUGCUGGCGGCAUGCCUAAUACAUGCAAGUCGAACGAACACUUCGGUGUUAGUGGCGCACGGGUGCGUAACGCGUGGGAAUCUGCCCUUGGGUUCGGAAUAACAGUUGGAAACGACUGCUAAUACCGGAUGAUGACGAAAGUCCAAAGAUUUAUCGCCCGAGGGAUGAGCCCGCGUAGGAUUAGCUAGUUGGUGAGGUAAACGGCUCACCAAGGCGACGAUCCUUAAGCGUGGUCUGAGAGGAUCGAUCGAGCCACAUGGGACUGAGACACGGACCCAGACCUCCG